AGAGAGAGAGAGAGAGAGAGAGAGAGAGAGCACUGGGGCUGGAGUUGUGUAAAAGGGGCUGAAGUCCUGCGCUGCGUCCUCCUCCUCCUGCUGCUCCGCUCAAACUCACCUCCACAGACACGAAUCAUGAAUAUCAUGAAUAUCACGUCUAUCUCCGCGUUCUGCCGUGGAUGACAGCGGCACACCCUGCUGAAUGUCCGGGACUCCGCCGCGCGGUGGGCGAGGCAGCCUGAACUCCGGCGGACCGUUCAGAUGUGUUGGCCGCGCAGGAGCGACCCGGCCGGUGGUCAAGGAACGUGCACCUAAAGCUGAUGAAUGAAGAGAAGGAGUGACCAUUUGGGACUUAAAGAGGGCCGUCCGUCACUCCAGGCUGUCUGGUUUGAACUCUCUUGCUCACUGGCUGACUCCCAGUACUCUGUCACGCUUGGCCCUGAAUGGCUGACACACAGCAGUUCUUCACUGGCAAGCUUUAUGUUCCUGUACACAUGCUAAAGCUGCCAGCUGAAGAACUGUUCUGGUCAGCCCUGCCCCGGAUGACUCAAGAAGAGGAAGUGGAUGGGGGUUGGUGGGAAGAAGACUGAGGAAAGCAGCAUUUCACACGCUCAAACUGGACUUUAAUAAGCUGCCAGUUUUAGGCCACCAUUGUUCAAAUUCCUGUGUUGAUUACAUGUAUAUCUGACUUUAAGCUGUACAGAAUGUUUAGUUUGUGGUGACAAAUAGUCUGAAAUGAUGCAUCGUCUUACAAUAAAGAACUAAAUGUUUUCUCA